rnacentral:rRNA from 1 species
UACAGAGGUCUCAAGCGUUGUUCGGAUUCAUUGGGCGUAAAGGGUGUGUAGGUGGCGCCGUAAGUCGGGUGUGAAAUUUCGGAGCUUAACUCCGAAACUGCAUUCGAUACUGCGGUGCUUGAGGACUGGAGAGGAGACUGGAAUUCCUGGUGUAGCGGUGGAAUGCGCAGAUAUCAGGAGGAACACCAAUAGCGAAGGCAGCUCGCUGGGACGUUACUGACACUGAGGCGCGAAAGCGUGGGGAGCGAACAGG